rnacentral:rRNA from 1 species
UGCAGUCGAACGAUGACUUCUGUGCUUGCACAGAAUGAUUAGUGGCGAACGGGUGAGUAACACGUGAGUAACCUGCCCUUGACUUCGGGAUAAGCCUGGGAAACCGGGUCUAAUACCGGAUACGACCUCCUGGCGCAUGCCAUGGGGGUGGAAAGCUUUAUGCGGUUUUGGAUGGACUCGCGGCCUAUCAGCUUGUUGGUUGGGGUAAUGGCCCACCAAGGCGACGACGGGUAGCCGGCCUGAGAGGGUGACCGGCCACACUGGGACUGAGACACGGCCCAGACUCCUACGGGAGGCAGCAGUGGGGAAUAUUGCACAAUGGGCGGAAGCCUGAUGCAGCGACGCCGCGUGAGGGAUGACGGCCUUCGGGUUGUAAACCUCUUUCAGCAGGGAAGAAGCGAAAGUGACGGUACCUGCAGAAGAAGCGCCGGCUAACUACGUGCCAGCAGCCGCGGUAAUACGUAGGGCGCAAGCGUUAUCCGGAAUUAUUGGGCGUAAAGAGCUCGUAGGCGGUUUGUCGCGUCUGCUGUGAAAGCCCGGGGCUCAACCCCGGGUCUGCAGUGGGUACGGGCAGACUAGAGUGCAGUAGGGGAGACUGGAAUUCCUGGUGUAGCGGUGAAAUGCGCAGAUAUCAGGAGGAACACCGAUGGCGAAGGCAGGUCUCUGGGCUGUAACUGACGCUGAGGAGCGAAAGCAUGGGGAGCGAACAGGAUUAGAUACCCUGGUAGUCCAUGCCGUAAACGUUGGGCACUAGGUGUGGGGGACAUUCCACGUUUUCCGCGCCGUAGCUAACGCAUUAAGUGCCCCGCCUGGGGAGUACGGCCGCAAGGCUAAAACUCAAAGGAAUUGACGGGGGCCCGCACAAGCGGCGGAGCAUGCGGAUUAAUUCGAUGCAACGCGAAGAACCUUACCAAGGCUUGACAUGAACCGGUAAAGCGUAGAAAUACGCUCCCCACUUGUGGCCGGUUUACAGGUGGUGCAUGGUUGUCGUCAGCUCGUGUCGUGAGAUGUUGGGUUAAGUCCCGCAACGAGCGCAACCCUCGUUCUAUGUUGCCAGCGGGUUAUGCCGGGGACUCAUAGGAGACUGCCGGGGUCAACUCGG